GGGUUUUUGCAACUGCAGAUCUUGUUAUCAAAGGAUUAUUCAAUUAGGCUGCCGUUGGAUUUUGGACGAGUUGCUGCUAGUUUCAGUAUUGCUGUUUAUGUUUCGCUGUCUCUGAAUUUCAGUCCGUAGAACUUUCGUUUGUUUUUAAAUGUUAUUUCUUUUGUUUGCCAAAAAUAAAAAUCCUCUCAUCCUCUUCCCUCUUCUUCCUUUUCUAGCCCUUACUAACCCUUAGAUCAAUAUUUUUAGUACAGCACAGAAAGCCCCUAGUUUCUUUGGUUUACCUCUGUUUCUGAUCCUAAAAACAGAGUUUGACAGAGCACCUUAGUAGCUUACUCGUUCUUGUGGUUGCUGAGGAUAUAAAGAGACGCAUUACCUUGUCAAGGAAGAAGCAUUAUUCCAGAUAUGCAGGAAGAUUACUUCAGUUAUAUUAUGUGUCUGAUGCAAGAGCUUUCCAAAUACGGAGGGCCAAUUCAGCUGUAACGUACUCUAAGCUCAUUUAAUUUAUCAUCUUUUCCCAAUUGUAAUCUUAUCUUCAUCGUCCAUAUUACAGUAGCAUGUAGAAGGGCUGUUCCGUACUUCUCUUGGUCUCACUUCCUCUUUUUCCUCACUGCCGAUUGAGGAAAAAGGCUGCAUGGGCAAAUAACAAUUCAGCAGAAGCAGAGGGAGACGAGAAAGGCCUGUCACCGUAGAGUGGUGGGAUUUUUAGUUGUUUAUACUACAAGCUAGUGUGAUACGAAGAAACAGAUGAGGGAGGAAGGAAAUUCCCCUGUUCUGAUCUCUGAUGCGGAGCUCCGUGGAGGCAGAAGAACCGCAAGCCACUCUCUGAGCUUGAGGAAAGACGAAAAGAAGCAGCAUGGAGGCUAGACCGUUUCCUCCAUCCCUUGCUGGUCACGAAGUACCUCUGCUCGACAACUUUUGGGUAUCUCAGGUAGCAGUACCCUCUGAUCCUCGUCCAUAUGGGCCUCUCGUGCAAGUAUAUCAGCACACUGUAGCUCCUCUCGCCUUGCGUAGGCUAACUUCACAUCGCUAUCCCCGUAUAACAUAUUUGUAGUUUCCUCAAUCUCAGGUCUGAGGAUGAUCUCCUCCGCUGUCACGGAGUAGGACAUUGAUAGCUUCCAAUGAGUCUGAAAAGACCCAAAUAUCCUUGAGAUUCAGCUCUGCACACACUUGCAGUGCCACCUUAAUUGCCCUUAUCUCUGCCGCCACUACAUGGUAUAAUCCAAGCCCCUGUCCGAAACCCGUGAUCCAUUCUCCCUUCUCGUCUCGAAUUACGCCUCCACAGUCCACAGGCUGCCUGAUUCCACGGUCUGACCGAGGCAUCCAGAAAUUUAUGUUAGUUUUAUGACACCUUUUUCAUUAUCCAUAAAUACCCUCCCUAUCAUUCCAUUUGAAUGGAAAAAAUAAACUUUUUAUUUGUUGAUUUUUUUUUU